AUUGAACGCUGGCGGCAUGCUUUACACAUGCAAGUCGAACGGUAACAGGCCUUCGGGCGCUGACGAGUGGCGAACGGGUGAGUAAUGCAUCGGAACGUGCCCAGUCGUGGGGGAUAACGCAGCGAAAGCUGUGCUAAUACCGCAUACGAUCUGUGGAUGAAAGCGGGGGACCUUCGGGCCUCGCGCGAUUGGAGCGGCCGAUGUCAGAUUAGGUAGUUGGUGGGGUAAAGGCCCACCAAGCCGACGAUCUGUAGCUGGUCUGAGAGGACGACCAGCCACACUGGGACUGAGACACGGCCCAGACUCCUACGGGAGGCAGCAGUGGGGAAUUUUGGACAAUGGGCGCAAGUCUGAUCCAGCAAUGCCGCGUGCAGGAAGAAGGCCUUCGGGUUGUAAACUGCUUUUGUACGGAGCGAAAAGGCUCCCUCUAAUACAGGGGGCUCAUGACGGUACCGUAAGAAUAAGCACCGGCUAACUACGUGCCAGCCGCCGCGGUAA
rnacentral:rRNA from 1 species